GGAUGUGAUCAUACCAGCACUGAAGCACCGGAUCCCAUUAGAACUCCGAAGUUAAGCGUGCUUGGGCGAGAGUAGUACUAGGAUGGGUGACCUCUUGGGAAGUCCUCGUGUUGCAUUCC
rnacentral:rRNA from 2 species